rnacentral:rRNA from 1 species
AGAGUUUGAUCCUGGCUCAGGAUGAACGCUAGCGGCAGGCUUAAUACAUGCAAGUCGAGGGGCAGCAUGAUUGUAGCAAUACAAUUGAUGGCGACCGGCAAACGGGUGCGGAACACGUACACAACCUUCCAACAAGUGGGGGAUAGCCCAGAGAAAUUUGGAUUAAUACCCCGUAACAUAGCGAUGUGGCAUCACAUUGCUAUUAUAGAUUUUUCGCUUGUUGAUGGGUGUGCGGCUGAUUAGAUAGUUGGCGGGGUAACGGCCCACCAAGUCUACGAUCAGUAGCUGAUGUGAGAGCAUGAUCAGCCACACGGGCACUGAGACACGGGCCCGACUCCUACGGGAGGCAGCAGUAAGGAAUAUUGGACAAUGGACGCAAGUCUGAUCCAGCCAUGCCGCGUGAAGGAUUAAGGUCCUCUGGAUUGUAAACUUCUUUUAUAAGGGACGAAAAAAGGCUUUUCUAAGUCGUCUGACGGUACCUUAUGAAUAAGCACCGGCUAACUCCGUGCCAGCAGCCGCGGUAAUACGGAGGGUGCAAGCGUUAUCCGGAUUCACUGGGUUUAAAGGGUGCGUAGGCGGGCAGGUAAGUCAGUGGUGAAAUCCUAGAGCUUAACUCUAGAACUGCCAUUGAUACUAUCUGUCUUGAAUAUUGUGGAGGUAAGCGGAAUAUGUCAUGUAGCGGUGAAAUGCUUAGAUAUGACAUAGAACACCUAUUGCGAAGGCAGCUUACUACGCAUAUAUUGACGCUGAGGCACGAAAGCGUGGGGAUCAAACAGGAUUAGAUACCCUGGUAGUCCAA